rnacentral:rRNA from 1 species
GUCUAUGGCCAUGCCACCCUGAACAAGCCCAGUCCCGUCUGAUCUCGGAAGCUAAGCAGGGUCGGGCCUGGUUAGUACUUGGAUGGGAGACCACCUAGGAAGACCAGGUGCUGUAGACG